UGUUUCGGCAAGGGGGUCAUCCCGACUUACCAACCCGAUGCAAACUGCGAAUACCGGAGAAUGUUAUCACGGGAGACACACGGCGGGUGCUAACGUCCGUCGUGAAGAGGGAAACAACCCAGACCGCCAGCUAAGGUCCCAAAGUCAUGGUUAAGUGGGAAACGAUGUGGGAAGGCCCAGACAGCCAGGAUGUUGGCUUAGAAGCAGCCAUCAUUUAAAGAAAGCGUAAUAGCUCACUGGUCGAGUCGGCCUGCGCGGAAGAUGUAACGGGGCUAAACCAUGCACCGAAGCUGCGGCAGCGACACUAUGUGUUGUUGGGUAGGGGAGCGUUCUGUAAGCCUGUGAAGGUGUACUGUGAGGUAUGCUGGAGGUAUCAGAAGUGCGAAUGCUGACAUAAGUAACGAUAAAGCGGGUGAAAAGCCCGCUCGCCGGAAGACCAAGGGUUCCUGUCCAACGUUAAUCGGGGCAGGGUGAGUCGACCCCUAAGGCGAGGCCGAAAGGCGUAGUCGAUGGGAAACAGGUUAAUAUUCCUGUACUUGGUGUUACUGCGAAGGGGGGACGGAGAAGGCUAUGUUGGCCGGGCGACGGUUGUCCCGGUUUAAGCGUGUAGGCUGGUUUUCCAGGCAAAUCCGGAAAAUCAAGGCUGAGGCGUGAUGACGAGGCACUACGGUGCUGAAGCAACAAAUGCCCUGCUUCCAGGAAAAGCCUCUAAGCAUCAGGUAACAUCAAAUCGUACCCCAAACCGACACAGGUGGUCAGGUAGAGAAUACCAAGGCGCUUGAGAGAACUCGGGUGAAGGAACUAGGCAAAAUGGUGCCGUAACU
rnacentral:rRNA from 1 species